rnacentral:tRNA from 1 species
CGGGCAGUAGCUCAAUGGUGGAGCUCCCGCUUCGUAUGCUGGAGGACCUGGGUUCGAUACUCGGCGGCUUAC